CGGUGAGCCCGCUUCCGGCAGCAGCACCGGGGCUCAGGCCUGGCGGCCUCCCGGUACUGCACAGCGUCCUCUGCCCUGUCGCCCGCAGGCAGCGCGGUCUGCUACAGAGAGACGGCGCUGUAACUUUUAAUUCCACAUCAGACGUCUUCCUUCGCAAGCCGCUCCGGAACGCCCUCAGCCACCGGCUGCAGCGGGCCUGGCGGGACGCGGGGAGCAGAGCUCUCCAGCUGCCCUCCCAGCCGCCCUGCGGUCCGCCCCCUCCCGCAGGACCUGUCGCGGCCCAGUGACGUCACGCAGCCAACACAGGGAUGGGACCGCCUGAGAUCCCACCUCAAACGUACGCCGCCUCCAUCCAGAACCAUCUUCUGAGCUUAAUCAAUCCGUAACUAAGCUCAGCUGAUCAGGAACAAUCAAAUUAACGUUAACUCUAACGAAUGGCAAAUCUCAUCUCACACACAACAACAAAAAUACUGAAACGUGAGAUUAAAGGAGGAAAAUAUUCAGAAUUCAGAUUGAUUCUUAGGAACCUUGCCAGUAUUGUUUAUAAACAAACGCCUUUGCAGGGACGCUGCCUUACCAGACCCACCGUGAGAAGGGGAAUUGGGUCUUCUGGGGGUUCUGUACAAGCACUGAAGUUCAUGUUUCACUGCAUUAAGUAAGUUUAGCUUUUACUGAUGACUAUGGCAAAUAAGAAGUAUUCUCCAGGUGAAAUAAACUUCCAUUGCUUUUCAGGCAACGCUGAGCUGCACGUUUUAUAUGGGAUUGGAGGGUUUUAAUGCACACAUCCUGCUGGAUGGAACUGUGACAGAGGCAGCUGCUGGAAGGAAAAAAAAGUCCUAAUUCUUUACUACAAACAUCCACUGUGAUUUUAAAAAUACAGGAAAAAACCAGAAUGCUCACACUGACAAAGACAAAACCAAGCUGCUUUAAAACCGACAGCUUAAGGAUAUUUAGAACUUCUGUGAAACAGACACGAGGCCAGAUUCCAUAGAACUCCAUUAAAUCUGCAAUCACAUCUCUUCUGUUUGUGAUUAAUUACUUCCCUAGCCAAAGGGAAACUAAUGGAAUACCUGUUUAAUUAUGAGAAGAUAUUCAGGACUAUAUUACAGUAUCAAGAUAUGAAUAUAAGACAGAUGUAGUAGACAAUACUUUACAGUUUGGUAAAAUACAAUCUCCCUGAAAAACAGAAAAUAGAGUUACCAAAGCCUGCUGAUCCAGCUCCUGUUUGCAACUCUGCUGCUGGUUUGUAGUGAAACUUUCAGUAAAAUAGUUGUUUCCCCAUUUACAAGUGGCAGCUACCAACACUUCUCUUCCUCAUACAACUGAGGAACACAGAAUCGAGUUAAAGCCUGCUGCAGCUGCAGAGAUAUCCACUGAGAAGACAGUUUAUAAUGGAUUAACUUUUCUGCUUUUAAAGUGCAUGGUAUAAUUGGCGUGUAGCAGAGGGGAAAAUGGACUCAAAAUGAGCCUUUUGAAAGAGAUACAGAAUGAGAGGAGAGUGUCUUGCACUGAGGUUAUGUAUUUAACAGUUUUACAUGAAAUAUUUAUAUAUAAAAACUUUUUAAGUGCUUUUCUCCAAUUUAAAAAUCUAAAGAAUUCAAAAAUAAGGCAUUCAAUAUUUGAAAAAGUACAGAUUUACAAAAUGUGUAUAUUCUGUCAUGAAAAUUCCACACCAACAUUAUACACUUGGAAAAAAAAUACAAACAGGAUAUAUUACAAAUUUAUGUAGCAAUAACUUAGUUCAUACCAUGCAAUAAGAAGUACGUUAAUCAAGAUACACAAGCUUUAAGGUUUCCUAAACUGGAGGGCUUAAUUCUGUUUGCAAAUGAGUUUUUAUGCAAAUUCUUAGAGCUGUGGCACUUGAAAUUCUUGGUAGCCUUUCUAUUGAGAGUUAAAUUGUACAUAAUGAUUAUGAGGAUGGAGAGUAACAAAGCAGCUGUUACGAAUCAUUCCAACUUUGUUCAACAAUAGCUGAAACUCUUUUCUCAUAUUCACGUUUGUUCUCCUGAUAAAGCUGUGCUGCCUGACUGUUUGCUGGACUGUUUGGAUUAGGUUCAUCAAGCAGAGACUGAAUUGAAGUUAAAAUAGAUGAGACAUCGUAUGUCGGACUCCACCGAUUCUGAAGAAUAUCUAAACAUAUGCUACCAUCCGCAUAAACAUUUGGAUGGAACAUUUUUGAUAAAAACCUGACAGUUGGAGGUUUGUUUGGAUAUUCUUCUGAAAAUUCUAUUACUAGUUUAAAAGUACCAUCUUCAAAAGGGGUCCCUUCUGGCCCAAAUAUAACUGCAUUCCACUGCAUUAUAUUAUUCUCAGAUGGUGCACCACUGACACCCACAGGAGGGUCUUCUUGCAAUCUCUUGAAGUCCCGCAUCAGCCUGCGCCGCGCCGGGGUGGACAUGAUCGCGGCGGAGCACCGUCCCCCGGCCGCAGCACCGCCUCCCGCACAAACAACCCGCAAUGGCGUC
rnacentral:lncRNA from 1 species